CGCUAAGAGAUCGGUCUAUAUCGCAUCAGUUAGUUGGUGGGGUAACGGCCUACCAAGACAAUGACGCGUAGCGGGUUUGAGAGGAUGAUCCGCCACACUGGUACUGAGACACGGACCAGACUCCUACGGGAGGCAGCAGUGAGGAAUAUUGCACAAUGGGGGAAACCCUGAUGCAGCAACGCCGCGUGGAGGAUGACGCAUUUCGGUGUGUAAACUCCUUUUAUGAGUCAAGAAAAUGACGGUAGCUCAUGAAUAAGCACCGGCUAACUCCGUGCCAGCAGCCGCGGUAAUACGGAGGGUGCAAGCGUUACUCGGAAUCACUGGGCGUAAAGGACGCGUAGGCGGGUUAUCAAGUCAGGUGUGAAAUCCUAUGGCUCAACCAUAGAACUGCACUUGAAACUGGUAACCUAGAGUAUGGGAGGGGCAGAUGGAAUUAGUAGUGUANGGGGUAAAAUCCGUAGAUAUUACUAGGAAUACCGAAAGCGAAGGCGAUCUGCUGGAACAUUACUGACGCUAAGGCGUGAAAGCGUGGGGAGCAAACGGGAUUAGAUACCCCGGUAGUCCACGCCCUAAACGAUGAACGCUAGUCGUCGGGGAGCUAGUCUCUUCGGUGAUGCACUUAACAGAUUAAGUGUUCCGCCUGGGGAGUACGGUCGCAAGAUUAAAACUCAAAGGAAUAGACGGGGACCCGCACAAGUGGUGGAGCAUGUGGUUUAAUUCGAAGAUACGCGAAGAACCUUACCUAGCCUUGACAUUGAUAGAACACCGUAGAGAUACAGUGGUGCCCUUCGGGGAACUUGAAAACAGGUGCUGCACGGCUGUCGUCAGCUCGUGUCGUGAGAUGUUGGGUUAAGUCCCGCAACGAGCGCAACCCUCGUCCUUAGUUGCCAGCAGGUUAAGCUGGGCACUCUAAGGAGACUGCCUUCGCAAGGAGGAGGAAGGUGAGGACGACGUCAAGUCAUCAUGGCCCUUAUGGCUAGGGCUACACACGUGCUACAAUGGGGCGUACAGAGAGUUGCGAUACCGCGAGGUGGAGCCAAUCUCAUAAAGCGUCUCUCAGUUCGGAUUGGAGUCUGCAACUCGACUCCAUGAAGCUGGAAUCACUAGUAAUCGUAGAUCAGCAAUGCUACGGUGAAUACGUUCCCGGGUCUUGUACUCACCGCCCGUCACACCAUGGGAGUUGAUUUCACCCGAAAUUGGGAAGCUAACCUUCGGGGGG
rnacentral:rRNA from 1 species